GAUGAAGAACGCAGCGAAAUGCGAUAAGUAAUGUGAAUUGCAGAAUUCAGUGAAUCAUCGAGUCUUUGAACGCACAUUGCGCCCCCUGGUAUUCCGGGGGGCAUGCCUGUCCGAGCGUCAUUGCUGCCCUCAAGCACGGCUUGUGUGUUGGGCCCCCGUCCCCGGUUUCCCCCGGGGACGGGCCCGAAAGGCAGCGGCGGCACCGCGUCCGGUCCUCGAGCGUAUGGGGCUUUGUCACCCGCUCUGUAGGCCCGGCCGGCGCCAGCCGGCGUCUCCAACCUUCUAUUUUACCAGGUUGACCUCGGAUCAGGUAGGGAUACCCGCUGAACUUAAGCAUAUCAAUAAGCGGAGGA
rnacentral:misc_RNA from 1 species